CACGUAGGCGGUCUGGUAAGUCUGAGGUGAAAUCCACGAGCUCAACUCGUGAACGGCCUUGGAAACUGCCGGAAUAGAGGGCCAGAGGGAAAGUGGAAUUUCGGGUGUAGCGGUGAAAUGCGUAGAUAUCCGAGAGAACACCAAUGGCGAAGGCAGCUUUCUGGCUGGAUCCUGACGCUGAGGUGCGAAAGCUAGGGUAGCGAACG
rnacentral:rRNA from 1 species